rnacentral:rRNA from 1 species
UACAGAGGUCUCAAGCGUUGUUCGGAUUCAUUGGGCGUAAAGGGAGCGUAGGUGGCGUCGUAAGUCAGGUGUGAAAUCUCGGGGCUCAACCCCGAAACUGCACUUGAUACUGCGAUGCUUGAGUACUGGAGAGGAGAUUGGAAUUUACGGUGUAGCAGUGAAAUGCGUAGAUAUCGUAAGGAAGACCAGUGGCGAAGGCGAAUCUCUGGACAGUUACUGACACUGAGGCUCGAAGGCCAGGGGAGCAAACGGG